CACGUAGGCGGCUUUCUAAGUCGGGGGUGAAAUCCUGGAGCUCAACUCCAGAACUGCCUUCGAUACUGGAAAGCUCGAGUCCGGGAGAGGAGAGUGGAACUGCGAGUGUAGAGGUGAAAUUCGUAGAUAUUCGCAAGAACACCAGUGGCGAAGGCGGCUCACUGGCCCGGUACUGACGCUGAGGUGCGAAAGCGUGGGGAGCAAACA
rnacentral:rRNA from 1 species